rnacentral:rRNA from 1 species
GAUGAACGCUGGCGGCGUGCCUAAUACAUGCAAGUCGAGCGAACAGACGAGGAGCUUGCUCCUCUGACGUUAGCGGCGGACGGGUGAGUAACACGUGGAUAACCUACCUAUAAGACUGGGAUAACUUCGGGAAACCGGAGCUAAUACCGGAUAAUAUAUUGAACCGCAUGGUUCAAUAGUGAAAGACGGUUUUGCUGUCACUUUUAAAUGGAUCCGCGCCGCAUUAGCUAGUUGGUAAGGUAACGGCUUACAAAGGCAACGAUGCGUAGCCGACCUGAGAGGGUGAUCGGCCACACCGGAACUGAGACACGGUCCAGACUCCUACGGGAGGCAGCAGUAGGGAAUCUUCCGCAAUGGGCGAAAGCUUGACGGAGCAACGCCGUGUGAGUGAUGAAGGUCUUCGGAUCGUAAAACUCUGUUAUUAGGGAAGAACAAAUGUGUAAGUAACUAUGCACGUCUUGACGGUACCUAAUCAGAAAGCCACGGCUAACUACGUG